ensembl:processed_transcript 5930403N24Rik RIKEN cDNA 5930403N24 gene
CUCAUUUUGAACUUGUCUGUGCACAGCAUCAAGUGUGCUCCUGGAAGAGAGGCAACAGCGAGGAAAUCCUAAAAGACCGAGUCCUAGUCUCAGAAGAAAUCGCCUGCAAGGUUGAGAGACAGAAAGAAAAUCCCUGGAAACUCCACGUCUAACCCAGGCUAAAGGCAAAGCUCUACAGCGGUGUGUAGGAUAUCUCUCUCGUUCGCUACAGCCCUUGCCACCGAAGUACCAGACGCUUUUAGUGUGUGAAAGACCAGGCGUUGAUUUAAUGUAUCUGGAAGGGAGAGGGGAUAGAGGAUGCAACUUAAUAAAUAUUCCUCUAGUCUCGCUCAUGAAAACAUCCAAAACAUCUUUCGGCGUUUGCAUUUAAUGACUGCAACGUGAACGAUGGAGGCGAGAAGCAGUCGAGGGAAUGGCUCGUUUCUCUUAGUGUUGGCUCGGAAUUGUCAAACAGUUACUUUCUGUUCAUUGUAGGGAAAUAGGUCACACUUUGAGUGAAAAGGACAGUUGGUUCAAGCCAAUAACCCUUUGUUCAAGUGCUGUUUGACAGUCCCUGAGCAGAACAUCGUUGCGUGAAGUUUCAUCUCCUGUCCAGUACCUUUAGAUACAUUAUUAAAUCCCAAAGUCAUAUUCCACGGAGCGCCUGGAAGGAAUAUUUCGUCGAAACGCGUCUUGCCAACCAACGUGUUAGCACCCGUAAGGAAGCCUGCUGGACUGGCCCGAGAACCCAGCCGCCAGGAUGGACACGAAUCCCUCAUUAGCAGUUCCAACUUGAAAAGCCAACUGGGCUGGUCCAACACCACCAUCCAGGAGAUUCCCAAAGGCUCAAAAGUGGGUGUCUAUGCAUAAAGAAGACAGCAACAUGAAGCUGAGAUUGAUUCCCAUUGGUACUGAAUCAGAACUCAUGGAAACAAGUAAAUCUCCUUGGAAAUUAUCACCUAUUAGGUUACCAUCAAACCAAUGCUCAAAGCAAGGCACUCGAAGAGACAUUGACGGCGAAAAGGAAUUGAACUCAAUGGGAAAGCACGGCACCAUGAAGGAGCCACCAUGCGAGGGCAGCAAGUGAAUCCAGGGGAGGUCUGUCUCCAAGAAGACGAGCAAGGAAGACCGAAAUGCUCAUUUGUAAAGGAAGUAUUUGAAAUGUCACCCUCCCCCUUUUUUUCUAAAUUGUUUUCUUGGGAAGCCUUCUUAUAGAAACUUAAGAAAAGAUGACUGGGAAUUUAUAUUGUUGAUAUGGGCACACCACGUCAAGGACCCCAAUGCCUCAGACUUAUGCAAAUGAUAAAGCUUCCAUGGGUCAGGUUUGGAGAAAUGGCAAAGCCUUCCACUCUCCCGAGUACCAGUAUUGACAACUGAUUGCUCUUUAGUUAAUGCCAGUGUAGAGUUAGCACCCACCAGAACCAUGGCUUCCUCCUGCUGCAUAUUUACAACUUAAGACUGUUCCCCUAUGAAGACUUCCCACUCAGACAAGCUAACCCCUCAGUGGUGGUUUGAAUGAGAAUGACCCCUGUACAAUCAUACCGUUGAAUGCCCCCCCCCACCCAGUUGGCGAAUCUGUUUGGGAAGGAUUAGGAGGUGUAGACUUGGAGGAGGUGUGUUACUGGAGGUGGUCUUUGAGGUUUAAGAAGCCCCCACCAUUUCCAAGUAGCAUCUCUCUCUGCCUAGUGCUUGUGAAUCAGAUAUAAACUCUCAACUGUUUCUACAGUGCCUACCUGCCUGUUUUCAUGUUUCCUGCCCUGAUAGUCAUGGACUCACCCUCUGAAAUUGUAAGCAAAUUCUCAAUAAAAUACCUUCUUCUAU